GAGGAUGAGGAGAUGGAACUAGUCCAUCAAGAGAGCGGUACAACUCUGGAAGUUACCAUUUCAUAACCAAAAGGAACCAAGACUCCUACAAAGAAGUCUUCAAAAUAUGUAUCUGUUGAACCCUCAUUGGCCAAAAUAACUAGGUCCACAGUGAAGUGAAAACAAGUAAAAGUUACUGAAGAAGAAGAAGAAGAGUGGAGUGGGGAACAAGAAGAGAAGGAGUCUUAAAAGGAACAAGAUUGAUUUUUCAUCUUUGGCAAGAGAAAGAUUCUGAAGGGAAGGUUGCUGAAAGACCUGGAGGUUCCAGGCAUGAUUAGGUUGGUAGGUGCUAUAUUUUCACAAGGUUGGAAGGACUUGGUCAUUCAACUAGAUUGAAGAGUAGCAAGAAAGGAGCUGAUCGAGUUCAUGGCAAAUGCCACUGUGAAAAAUAGGGUAGUUACCAGUGUGGUUAGGGGAGUGAAGGUGC
rnacentral:lncRNA from 1 species